AGUCUGCUCACACACCAGUUGACCAGGGUCUUAAAAGAAUCCUUAUCUACUUCGACCAGAGAAAUUCCAACCCAAGGGAACUUGGAAUUUAUGGAUUUUGAAGGCAACAAGACCUAAGCUUGUCUGAAGUAUGACAAAUUGGAACUGUGCAUAUUUAAGACAUUUAAGGUGUACAUCCUGACGUUUGGAGUCUGGCUUAUCAACAUAAUGUGCCCAGCAUCACCCACAUGGAGGCUUUAGUUAUAAUCCUCGUGCACUGGUUUGGACCCUGGAAUUCGUUUGAAGAGAUGUAGAUCAUCAGCUGAGUGCCAUGUGCCAACCGUGAGACCCAGACUGAUGUUGGACAUGUUUGUAGUUUUGGGGAAGUUCAGACCCUCACUACAUUUUUCUUCGUGCCAUCCUGAAACCAUCUGUCUGUUUUUCGUUUCAUGGCGUC
rnacentral:lncRNA from 1 species